rnacentral:rRNA from 1 species
CUGCGGAGGGAUCAUUACACAAAUAUGAAGGCGGGCUGGAAUCUCUCGGGGUUACAGCCUUGCUGAAUUAUUCACCCUUGUCUUUUGCGUACUUCUUGUUUCCUUGGUGGGUUCGCCCACCACUAGGACAAACAUAAACCUUUUGUAAUUGCAAUCAGCGUCAGUAACAAAUUAAUAAUUACAACUUUCAACAACGGAUCUCUUGGUUCUGGCAUCGAUGAAGAACGCAGCGAAAUGCGAUAAGUAGUGUGAAUUGCAGAAUUCAGUGAAUCAUCGAAUCUUUGAACGCACAUUGCGCCCUUUGGUAUUCCAAAGGGCAUGCCUGUUCGAGCGUCAUUUGUACCCUCAAGCUUUGCUUGGUGUUGGGCGUCUUGUCUCUAGCUUUGCUGGAGACUCGCCUUAAAGUAAUUGGCAGCCGGCCUACUGGUUUCGGAGCGCAGCACAAGUCGCACUCUCUAUCAGCAAAGGUCUAGCAUCCAUUAAGCCUUUUUUCAACUUUUGACCUCGGAUCAGGUAGGGAUACCCGCUGAACUUAAGCAUAUCAAUA